UACGUAGGGUGCAAGCGUUAAUCGGAAUUACUGGGCGUAAAGCGUGCGCAGGCGGUUUUGUAAGACUGUCGUGAAAUCCCCGGGCUCAACCUGGGAAUGGCGAUGGUGACUGCAAGGCUAGAGUUUGGCAGAGGGGGGUAGAAUUCCACGUGUAGCAGUGAAAUGCGUAGAUAUGUGGAGGAAUACCGAUGGCGAAGGCAGGUCUCUGGGCUGACACUGACGCUCAUGCACGAAAGCGUGGGGAGCAAACAGG
rnacentral:rRNA from 1 species